rnacentral:sRNA from 1 species
UUCGGAGGGGGUAAGAGGGCCCAACCUCCAUA